rnacentral:rRNA from 1 species
AUGAGGCGAACCGGGGGAACUGAAACAUCUAAGUACCCCGAGGAAAAGAAAUCAACCGAGAUUCCCCCAGUAGCGGCGAGCGAACGGGGAGGAGCCCAGAGCCUGAAUCAGCAUGUGUGUUAGUGGAAGCGUCUGGAAAGGCGCGCGAUACAGGGUGACAGCCCCGUACACAAAAGCGCAUGUGCUGUGAGCUCGAUGAGUAGGGCGGGACACGUGGUAUCCUGUCUGAAUAUGGGGGGACCAUCCUCCAAGGCUAAAUACUCCUGACUGACCGAUAGUGAACCAGUACCGUGAGGGAAAGGCGAAAAGAACCCCGGCGAGGGGAGUGAAAAAGAACCUGAAACCGUGUACGUACAAGCAGUGGGAGCCCCACCACCAAAGCAUUCUCUGGUGUUGAAGGCCCUGCAAAGCAGCAUCGCGGUGGCGGAGCGUCGUUUGCGACGCCCAACACACAAAACAAGCGGUGAGUGCUUUGGGGUGGGGUGACUGCGUACCUUUUGUAUAAUGGGUCAGCGACUUAUAUUCUGUAGCAAGGUUAACCGAAUAGGGGAGCCGGAGGGAAACCGAGUCUUAAUUGGGCGUUAAGUUGCAGGGUAUAGACCCGAAACCCGGUGAUCUAGCCAUGGGCAGGUUGAAGGUUGGGUAACACUAACUGGAGGACCGAACCGACUAAUGUUGAAAAAUUAGCGGAUGACCUGUGGCUGGGGGUGAAAGGCCAAUCAAACCGGGAGAUAGCUGGUUCUCCCCGAAAGCUAUUUAGGUAGCGCCUCGUGAAUUCAUCUCCGGGGGUAGAGCACUGUUUCGGCUAGGGGGCCAUCCCGGCUUACCAACCCGAUGCAAACUGCGAAUACCGGAGAAUGUUAUCACGGGAGACACACGGCGGGUGCUAACGUCCGUCGUGAAGAGGGAAACAACCCAGACCGCCAGCUAAGGUCCCAAAGUCAUGGUUAAGUGGGAAACGAUGUGGGAAGGCCCAGACAGCCAGGAUGUUGGCUUAGAAGCAGCCAUCAUUUAAAGAAAGCGUAAUAGCUCACUGGUCGAGUCGGCCUGCGCGGAAGAUGUAACGGGGCUAAACCAUGCACCGAAGCUGCGGCAGCGAACGUAUCACUUAAAGCGAUUCAGCGGGUUACGAUUGACGGAGCGAAGCGACGUCAAAGCGUAUACAAAGUCGAGUCGGUUUAAGGAUACGUUCGUUGGGUAGGGGAGCGUUCUGUAAGCCUGUGAAGGUGGCCUGUGAGGGUUGCUGGAGGUAUCAGAAGUGCGAAUGCUGACAUAAGUAACGAUAAAGCGGGUGAAAAGCCCGCUCGCCGGAAGACCAAGGGUUCCUGUCCAACGUUAAUCGGGGCAGGGUGAGUCGACCCCUAAGGCGAGGCCGAAAGGCGUAGUCGAUGGGAAACGGGUUAAUAUUCCCGUACUUGGUGUUACUGCGAAGGGGGGACGGAGAAGGCUAUGUUGGCCGGGCGACGGUUGUCCCGGUUUAAGCGUGUAGGUGUGUGUUCCAGGUAAAUCCGGUUCACUUUAACACUGAGGCGUGACGACGAGGCACUACGGUGCUGAAGCAACAAAUGCCCUGCUUCCAGGAAAAGCCUCUAAGCAUCAGGUAACAUCAAAUCGUACCCCAAACCGACACAGGUGGUCAGGUAGAGAAUACCAAGGCGCUUGAGAGAACUCGGGUGAAGGAACUAGGCAAAAUGGUGCCGUAACUUCGGGAGAAGGCACGCUGACAC